rnacentral:rRNA from 1 species
AUGCUGGAGGUAUCAGAAGUGCGAAUGCUGACAUAAGUAACGAUAAAGCGGGUGAAAAGCCCGCUCGCCGGAAGACCAAGGGUUCCUGUCCAACGUUAAUCGGGGCAGGGUGAGUCGACCCCUAAGGCGAGGCCGAAAGGCGUAGUCGAUGGGAAACAGGUUAAUAUUCCUGUACUUGGUGUUACUGCGAAGGGGGGACGGAGAAGGCUAUGUUGGCCGGGCGACGGUUGUCCCGGUUUAAGCGUGUAGGCUGGUUUUCCAGGCAAAUCCGGAAAAUCAAGGCUGAGGCGUGAUGACGAGGCACUACGGUGCUGAAGCAACAAAUGCCCUGCUUCCAGGAAAAGCCUCUAAGCAUCAGGUAACAUCAAAUCGUACCCCAAACCGACACAGGUGGUCAGGUAGAGAAUACCAAGGCGCUUGAGAGAACUCGGGUGAAGGAACUAGGCAAAAUGGUGCCGUAACUUCGGGAGAAGGCACGCUGAUAUGUAGGUGAGGUCCCUCGCGGAUGGAGCUGAAAUCAGUCGAAGAUACCAGCUGGCUGCAACUGUUUAUUAAAAACACAGCACUGUGCAAACACGAAAGUGGACGUAUACGGUGUGACGCCUGCCCGGUGCCGGAAGGUUAAUUGAUGGGGUUAGCGCAAGCGAAGCUCUUGAUCGAAGCCCCGGUAAACGGCGGCCGUAACUAUAACGGUCCUAAGGUAGCGAAAUUCCUUGUCGGGUAAGUUCCGACCUGCACGAAUGGCGUAAUGAUGGCCAGGCUGUCUCCACCCGAGACUCAGUGAAAUUGAACUCGCUGUGAAGAUGCAGUGUACCCGCGGCAAGACGGAAAGACCCCGUGAACCUUUACUAUAGCUUGACACUGAACAUUGAGCCUUGAUGUGUAGGAUAGGUGGGAGGCUUAGAAGUGUGGACGCCAGUCUGCAUGGAGCCGACCUUGAAAUACCACCCUUUAAUGUUUGAUGUUCUAACGUUGACCCGUAAUCCGGGUUGCGGACAGUGUCUGGUGGGUAGUUUGACUGGGGCGGUCUCCUCCUAAAGAGUAACGGAGGAGCACGAAGGUUGGCUAAUCCUGGUCGGACAUCAGGAGGUUAGUGCAAUGGCAUAAGCCAGCUUGACUGCGAGCGUGACGGCGCGAGCAGGUGCGAAAGCAGGUCAUAGUGAUCCGGUGGUUCUGAAUGGAAGGGCCAUCGCUCAACGGAUAAAAGGUACUCCGGGGAUAACAGGCUGAUACCGCCCAAGAGUUCAUAUCGACGGCGGUGUUUGGCACCUCGAUGUCGGCUCAUCACAUCCUGGGGCUGAAGUAGGUCCCAAGGGUAUGGCUGUUCGCCAUUUAAAGUGGUACGCGAGCUGGGUUUAGAACGUCGUGAGACAGUUCGGUCCCUAUCUGCCGUGGGCGCUGGAGAACUGAGGGGGGCUGCUCCUAGUACGAGAGGACCGGAGUGGACGCAUCACUGGUGUUCGGGUUGUCAUGCCAAUGGCACUGCCCGGUAGCUAAAUGCGGAAGAGAUAAGUGCUGAAAGCAUCUAAGCACGAAACUUGCCCCGAGAUGAGUUCUCCCUGACUCCUUGAGAGUCCUGAAGGAACGUUGAAGACGACGACGUUGAUAGGCCGGGUGUGUAAGCGCAGCGAUGCGUUGAGCUAACCGGUACUAAUGAACCGUGAGGCUUAACCUUACAACGCCGAAG